GACGAACGCUGGCGGCGUGCUUAACACAUGCAAGUCGAACGAAGUGGCGAACGGGUGAGUAAUACGUGUGUAACCUGCCCUCCUUUUUGGGAUAAGCCUCGGACACGGGGUCUAAUACCGAAUAAAGGGGGAUGGGCUCGCGGCCUAUCAGCUUGUUGGUGGGGUGAUGGCCUACCAAGGCGGUGACGGGUAGCCGGCAUGAGAGGGUGACCGGACACAUGGGGACGGUGAUACGGCCCAGACUCCUACGGGAGGCAGGAGUGGGGGAUAUUGGACAAUGGGCGAGAGCCUGAUGCGGCGACGCCGCGUGGGGGAUGAGGGCUUUCGGGUUGUAAACCUCUUUCGCGAUCGAACGGGUAGGUGUAGAAGAAGCGCCGGCUAACUACGUGCCAGCCGCCGCGGUAAUUC
rnacentral:rRNA from 1 species